rnacentral:rRNA from 1 species
AGUGAACGCUGGCGGUAGGCCUAACACAUGCAAGUCGAACGGCAGCACAGUAAGAGCUUGCUCUUACGGGUGGCGAGUGGCGGACGGGUGAGGAAUACAUCGGAAUCUACUUUUUCGUGGGGGAUAACGUAGGGAAACUUACGCUAAUACCGCAUACGACCUACGGGUGAAAGCAGGGGAUCUUCGGACCUUGCGCGAUUGAAUGAGCCGAUGUCGGAUUAGCUAGUUGGCGGGGUAAAGGCCCACCAAGGCGACGAUCCGUAGCUGGUCUGAGAGGAUGAUCAGCCACACUGGAACUGAGACACGGUCCAGACUCCUACGGGAGGCAGCAGUGGGGAAUAUUGGACAAUGGGCGCAAGCCUGAUCCAGCCAUACCGCGUGGGUGAAGAAGGCCUUCGGAUUGUAAAGCCCUUUUGUUGGGAAAGAAAAGCAGCAGGUUAAUACCCCGCUGUCCUGACGGUACCCAAAGAAUAAGCACCGGCUAACUUCGUG